rnacentral:rRNA from 1 species
AACGAACGCUGGCGGCAUGCCUAACACAUGCCAGUCGAACGAAGUCUUCGGACUUAGUGGCGCACGGGUGCGUAACGCGUGGGAAUCUGCCCUUGGGUACGGAAUAACUCAGAGAAAUUUGUGCUAAUACCGUAUAAUGUCUUCGGACCAAAGAUUUAUCGCCCAAGGAUGAGCCCGCGUAAGAUUAGCUAGUUGGUGGGGUAAAAGCCUACCAAGGCGACGAUCUUUAGCUGGUCUGAGAGGAUGAUCAGCCACACUGGGACUGAGACACGGCCCAGACUCCUACGGGAGGCAGCAGUGGGGAAUAUUGGACAAUGGGCGAAAGCCUGAUCCAGCAAUGCCGCGUGAGUGAUGAAGGCCCUAGGGUUGUAAAGCUCUUUUACCAGGGAUGAUAAUGACAGUACCUGGAGAAUAAGCGCCGGCUAACUCCGUG